CGUGGUUCUAUCUUCUGUGAAAGUUCCCCUCAGAUUUGUUUCUGGUUGUAGGAUUUGCCUGAAGCAAGCCUGCUGCUAACAGCCUCCAUAGAGCACCAAACAGCAUCAUCCAUCACAGCUGUGAGCAGCAAGGCUUCACCAGGAGAAAUUAUAUUGAGCUCUGUCACAACAAAAAGCAGCACCUGGAUUGCACAGAAAAGGGAAUGACCCAGCAGCAGUGGAAACUGUGCACUUUGGGAUUUCAGGUUCCAUACUCAAUUUCUUCUGGCACUAGAAUGAGAAGUGAGCAUAUGAAAUGUUACAACACUCUCUGAGAAGAGUUCCACUGAAAAAAUAAGUGUUUACCACACACAUUUCUGGCUUACCAGAUCAUAUGAAAAACAACAGACACCCCUACGCACUCCCUCACAAAAUACAUACACUCUUCUGAAGUCAAGGGGUCAACAGAGUAGAUAAAAGGUUAUUAUCAGAAAAUGAUGCCCCGUGAGAUUACGUUAAAGCAUAAGUUACUUUCAGAAACCAACACCCAUCGUAAGCAUCUCUUUUAUUCGUUGUAAUAUAAAGAAGCAUACAUCAUUCAGUUCCUUUAAGUACAACGCAUUGUACGCUAACAAAACGAAACAAAAAAAUCAAUCCAGACAUCCAUGAACAUGUCACAAAAGGACUCAUGUUUUGCUCUGCUGGUAUUGCACUUGGAAUAGUUUUGAAGUAAGGCACGGUAAAAACAAAGUCAUUUAGUGCUUCUACAGCAGAUGUCUUUUUUUUUUU